UCUUAGAGAUUCCAUUCUAAGCGGUGGAUCACUAGGCUCGCGGGUCGAUGAAGAACGGGGCCAGCCCCGAGAAUAAGUGCGAAUUGCAGACACAAAGAGCAUCGACUUUUCGAACGCACAUUGCGGUAUCGGGCCUGCUCGAUACCACGCCUAUCUGAGGGUCGAAUUAGCGAAUAACCCUA
rnacentral:rRNA from 1 species